CAACCUCAAUGGGGUGGUGUCAGCGGUGCACAUCCUAGGGGCUCGCGGAUAACAAGUGCUGUUCCCCUCGACGUCACUUCACGAGAGUGGCUCGAGCGACGCCAAGAUCACAGCUGUCAAUCACUUAUCCGCAUCAGCAUCCGAAUUGAGCGCUAGCUGGCGAGCUUAGUUACAUUGUUUGUCUAUUUAAGGUGUUACACUUUUCUUCACUUGAAACAUGGAUAUGUUUGUUUCAAAUGUGAAAUGUCUCACAGAGCGCCUGCUGCAGAAACAACUGGCUAAUACAGAUGAGGUUAUUGAGAAGCUCUUUUGUGAAGACUUCCCAAGAGUAACACCACUGGAUCCUCAGCUUGAAGAAAGUGCCAUUCAGCUGUGGAAUUGGGCAGUCACCAAACGUGUGGGAACAGCCAUAAAUGAGCACCAGAAAGCAAAAGUGCGUCAUGUUGCAUGCAGGCUGCUGUACUCCUGUGAGCCUGAGAAUCCAGCAGAGGGCGCUGUGCGCAAACAGAUCCUGAUGGCCAGCAAGACAGGAAGAACUUGGCUAGACUGUAAAAAGCCCCAGCUAGCUGAUAACUUCCUGAGCCUUGCUGUCAAAAGCUUGGAGACACUGUACAGCCGACUAACAUCCCGAGGCCAUGGAGGGGCAGACAUCAACACAUCAAAAGGAGAUGUGGAGAAGGACCUGCUUCGAGUUCUGUCUUACCAAGCUGAGUCGGCACUUGCUCAAGAGAAUCACCAAGAGGCUGUGGCCUGCAUGCAGCGCUGUAAAGACAUGCUACUGCGGCUCCCCAAAGAGACAGGCUAUCUCUCUCUCAUGUGCUAUAACUUUGGAGUGGAUUCCUACAAUAUGAAAAAGUAUGAGGAGAGUUCAUUCUGGUUGAGAGAGACAUUGGCCUUUGACUACCUGAAGAGGGUGUGCCAGCACUUUGAGUCGUCCCCUGAACUGGGCAGUGCCCUGGUCCUGCACAUUGAGCUGCUGCUGCAGAGAGGCAAGGAGCUUCUGGGAAAACAGAAAAUAGAGGACAUCAUCACAGGUACUACAGUGGUGGUGGUGGACAUCAUCACAGGUACAACAGUGGUGGUGACUAAGAACUUCUCAGAGGCUCUGCAGUGGUAUAACUACUCCUUGAGUUUCUACAAGGCUGGCCAGAUGGAGCCCAACCUGGCCAAGCUUCAGAGGAACAGAGCUUCCUGCUUACUGCAACUAGAGCAGCUGGACAAGGCCAAAGAAGCAAUAAAGGAGGCAGAGAGAUGUGAUCCAAACAGCAUCUUCACUCAGUUCAGUGUUUACAAGAUUGCUGUCCUGGAGAACAAUGUGGAGAAAGGUAACAGCAUAUUACAUGAGUCUCUUGAAUUGUUGAAGGAGAAAAUACCCAUCGUCCUCAUUGUCAUCCUUUGUUUCCUUUCCUUCCAGAAUGAGCAACAAGACACAGCCAUGAAGGCUCUGGAGAGUUUGUGUGAACACUCAAAAGAUGAAGCUCAGGUUCUCACUGCUCUCAGGUCAGUUACUAACCUGUCCCAGUUCUGCCCCCCGGACCGGGCCGUGUUGAUGGGCCAGAAGACGUGCCUGCUGAUGGCUGCUGCUGCCUCUCUGGAGCUCUGCAGGAAGUCUCCAAACUCUGACCAGACAGAGCAGUUGACACAAGCCCUGGAGCACAUUCAGAUCUGCUGGGAGGUCUGGAAGACUCUUAAAGCAUCAGGGGACAACUCCAAGGACCCAACCAACAUUUUGCUGCUGCUGUAUGAGUUUGAGGCUCGUGCCAAGCUCAACGACCCCAAGGUGGAGACAGUGCUGGAGUCAGUGCUGGAGCUGGAUAAUGUUGAGAUCAAGGUGUUGGAGACCAUGGCAGCCUUGGCCAUGGAGCCUCCUGCCCACUUCCCUCUGCUGUGUAAGAAGGCCUUGAGGAUCGCUCUGUCUCUGCACAGGAAACAACCACAAGCAGACCUGACCCGCUGCAGGUGUGUGCCCAUCUCAUUUUAUCACGGGUGCUCCAAGCCAGGUGGACGGCAGCAGAAUGUGUUUGUUGUCUCCUCUGUGCCUCCCCUCCAGCCUGAGGACUUCCCUGAGAUGGAGAUCCUGUGGCUGCUGACCCGAGCCUGGAACACAGGCAUCCUGCUGUAUAGCCUGGCCCAGUACCCCGAGGCUGAGAGGUGGUGUGGCCUGGGCAUGAGCUUCCUCCGCCACCUGGGCUCCCUGCAGGAGAGCUACCAGACACAGGUACUACUGACUGACUGGGAGGGAGCAGCAAUGGAGCGUGACAGGGCUGAAUCAUCCAGAGUCAAAUGA
rnacentral:lncRNA from 13 species